ACCCUCCAGACUUUUUAAGCAUCCAACCCAAACACUGGUCCGAGUGGUUACAAAAGGAGGAAAAGGAAAACUGAACUGGAUUUAACUUCUUUGGUGCUACACAAGUUCGUUUCAAACAGCA
rnacentral:snoRNA from 1 species